AUUGAAACACCGGUUUCCAUAUGAUCAUUGAAGUUAAGCAACAUUGAGCCUGGUUAGUAUCUAGACAGGUGAUCGCUUAGGAAUACUAGAUGCUGUAAG